ACGUUUCAUUAUUCCUCCUCUUCUUCUAUUUUCGUGUAUGGUCGAUAUCAAGGAGAAGAAAAGUUCACAUGGGUGUCGACCUCCAGUCUGAACAGACAGCUCUACCGAUUGUCUUUAUUAUCGGUGACGUACUCAGUCUGAAAUCAAGUCCGGACUCUAAUAGUCUUUUUCUAGCGUUGUCUCCAAUUAUCGAAGUCGGCCUCUGCUUCAGUCACAGCUUCCUUCAUCUCAGUCGAUUGGUGACAUUCUCAGGCGUUGUCUCAGUCCGGCAGCUCUAAUUCCUACGGUCCGACCAUUCCGAUUUCAGGCUAUUGAUUUAUAAUGUCUUCAUUUGACUUUGAAAGUCCAAUGAAGAAAUCAACUGGAAAUCAAUUUUCACAUUCUUCUAAUGGUGGUUUUAAAUCUAAAUCCACCGCUAAGAAUAUUGUCAAAGGAAAAUCAAAAUCUAAAAUGGUUACUUUUAUCAACACUAAAUAGUUAGAGAGUUCUUAAUUAAAUUUGUUAUUUUUAUUGAUUACAAUUUACUAGGGUACGGUGUUUCCUCUUUAUAUAUGUGCAAAUCAUGUAUUUAUUAUGGUAUUGGUUAGUUUUAAUAUUGUAGUUGUUAAAAUUUUAGCUUCCCACAAUUUUGUUGCAUUGUAACCUGGUUUUUAUUUUAUUUUA